AUUGAACGCUGGCGGAAUGCUUUACACAUGCAAGUCGAACGGCAGCACGGACUUCGGUCUGGUGGCGAGUGGCGAACGGGUGAGUAAUGUAUCGGAACGUGCCCAGUCGUGGGGGAUAACGUAGUGAAAAUUACGCUAAUACCGCAUACGAUCUAUGGAUGAAAGCGGGGGAUCGCAAGACCUCGCGCGAUUGGAGCGGCCGAGAUCCGAUUAGGUAGUUGGUGGGCUAAACGCCCACCAAGCCAACGAUCUGUAGCUGGUCUGAGAGGACGACCAGCCACACUGGAACAGAGACACGGUCCAGACUCCUACGGGAGGCAGCAGUGGGGAAUUUUGGACAAUGGGCGAAAGCCUGAUCCAGCCAUUCCGCGUGCAGGAUGAAGGCCCUCGGGUUGUAAACUGCUUUUGUACAGAACGAAAAGGUUUCUACUAAUACUAGGAGCUCAUGACGGUACUGUAAGAAUAAGCACCGGCUAACUACGUGCCAGCAGCCGCCGUAA
rnacentral:rRNA from 1 species